rnacentral:rRNA from 1 species
GACGAACGCUGGCGGCGUGCUUAACACAUGCAAGUCGAACGGAAAGGCCUGCUUUCCCUUGUGGAUUGCGGGUACUCGAGUGGCGAACGGGUGAGUAACACGUGAGUGAUCUGCCCCCAACUUGGGUAUAAGCCUGGGAAACUGGGUCUAAUUCCCGAUAGUACUGCAGGGUGGUGCCUGUGGUGGAAAACGAUUUUCUAGUGGUUGGGGAUGAGCUCGCGGCCUAUCAGCUUGUUGGUGGGGUAAUGGGCUACCAAGGCGGCGACGGGUAGCCGGCCUGAGAGGGGGGACGGCCACAUUGGGACUGAGAUACGGCCCAGACUCCUACGGGAGGCAGCAGUGGGGAAGAUUGCACAGUGGGCGGAAGCCUGAUGCAGCGACGCCGCGUGGGGGAUGACGGGCUUCGGGUUGUAAACUCCUUUCGACCGCGAGGAAGCCACCUGGAUGGAAGGGUGGUGACGGUAGUGGUAGAAGAAGCACCGGCUAACUACGUG